AUGAUAUUGUUCACACAUCAACAUCUUCUCAUCACAUUCAAUAUUAUUUUGGUGCUUAUUAUCAUCUUAUUUUUCUUCUCACCAUCAUCGUGUGUGGAUGGCUCAAGGUAUUCAAUUACUACUUUUCCCCACAAUCGCUUCGUCAUGGUUCAAGCAUAUUCUGGUCCAAGUCGGGGAGGAAGAGGUCACCAACUAAUUUCAUAA